CCCGCGGGAAAGCCGAGGCCCGGUGCUGUAUUCUGCCGCCCAUUUUACCCGCGGGGAAGCUGAGGCCCAGUGCUGUUUAAUAUCUUACUCAUGUUCACUUGAUGAGAAAGUGACAGAUCUGAGACAAACCCAGUUCUAGAGGUUAUGACACCAGCCAUGGAAGAGCAGAGAGGCCAAUGAGGUGGGGAGGUUGGAAACAAAAGGCCUUCUCCACCCCAGCUUGACCAACCCAAAAGCUGGAAGGCAAGGAAGACCUAGAAAGGGACCAGCUUGACGAAGCUUCUGCUUUUGUGACUGUCUCCUAAUGGGAGAAGUGAAAUUCUACCUCACUUUUUUAAAAGAAGAGCCUGGAAUUGGCCUAUCCGUCUUUUUCCCCGUUGGAUCACAGAGCAGAAAGGAAGGUGGGCGUUUGUGUUCUGGGUGUUGUCCACGCUGGACGUGCCAGCAUCUCCCACUGAGCCAGAUGUUCCAGGGCUAAGGCCAGUUUCAUUUGAAGGCACAGCCUUACUAUAUCAUGUGAGAAAACUGUGAUGCGGUCGACUGGCACCUAGCAUUGCCCCCAUCUGGAACAUCUGCAGCCUAGAUCUGUUCUGAUGAAGUAGAAGCCGCAGAUCUUAUCCUGAAACAGGCCAGGUGCAAGUGUCCUCUUAGAAGGGAUCAACCAUGGGAUGCGGCAUUAAGAGAAGAGAGAAGGACAUCCUUACAACUGUGCCUUUCUUUCAACUCAGUCGUGCGCAUUAGGCUUGUAUCAGUUAAAGUGCAGGCAAGAAAUUUCAAGCAGAAAGGGAGUCAGGUGCUCAUAGCAUUGCUGGCAGAAUUGAGAGCAGCGGGAGCCAUGGGAUGGGGGUGCUGCCUGGAAAUCAGGAAACUGGAGAAGCCUGCUGGAACCUGCUGAGGAACCCAUCACUGCAGCAAGAGACUGAUGGUGGACUGCAGGGGCCAGGAAGGUGCAGGAAGCCCCUGCUGCUGCAGGAGAAAGGAUGAAGGAUGGUUAUCUUCCACCUUCCAAAUCUCACAGGAACACCUCUUCUAGGUGGAAUCCAAACCAGAUUCCUUCUGGAAAGGGAUUCUGGAAAGUGUAGUUCUUAUGCUUCCAGCCUCUGAGAUAAGCAAGGACAAUUGCUGGAGGCGAGGGUGUCGCUGAAUACCAAGGAAGGAUAGCAGGUGUAGUUGCCCACAUGGCCACUCAGCAUCCACAUGGACAUCCCACCCAUGUUAAUUUCCAAAGAGCCAUCACAGAAACAUCAUCAUGCUUCCUCACAAAGAAGAAAUGCUCACCUCCACCCCAAUAGAAAGGGUCCAGGUAUCCAUCUCUGAGUGAUGGUCACCCUCCAUAUUCAGUAAAAAACACCCUCGGAUAGACUGUGGUUGAAAGACUAAACCUUUAGGUUAGCCACAGUCAAUAUAUCUUAUAUAAAAUAAGAGAGGCGGGGAGAGCAGGGGAAAGAGAUACUGGGUUAUGUGUGUAAAAACAUACACAAUAAAGCAAACAAGAAACGCUG
rnacentral:lncRNA from 1 species